CGUGGGCAUUGCUGUUGUUGUUGUGGUUGUUGUUGCAAUAGAUAUUGUUGUUCUGAAAAGUGCUUAAUUUGGUUCACUGUUUUGUUGUUCAGCUUAGUUGAGCGCAUUCAGCGC